rnacentral:rRNA from 1 species
UACAGAGGGUGCAAGCGUUGUUCGGAAUUACUGGGCGUAAAGGGCGCGUAGGCGGGUCUCCAAGUCUGUGGUGAAAUCCCCCGGCUCAACCGGGGAAGUGCCGUGGAUACUGGAGACCUCGAGGAGGGUAGGGGCAUCUGGAACAGUAGGUGGAGCGGUGAAAUGCGUUGAUAUCUACUGGAACUCCGGUGGCGAAGGCGAGGUGCUGGACCCUUUCUGACGCUGAGGCGCGAAAGCCAGGGGAGCAAACGGG